CAGUGCGGCGUCGCAUCAACUGACGUCACGGUAUGCGACACUUGUCAUGCUAAUUGUUUGCCGUGGGAUCCCUUUAAAAGCCCGGCACUGCUGCAGCCAGGGCCAAACACUUGAAAUAUUGCCCUUAUCGUGCGUCGCAGUGUGCCGUAUUUGGGGUACCACUCAAUCGGUGGGUGCGCGUCCUUGUUUAAGUUACCGGCUGCUUUGCUGUGUUGCGGUGUCAGCACUUAGCAACGGGAGUUCACCUCUCUUCGUCUUCGGCCGUGGUGGGUCGCUUACCGGAAGUACACAAGAUCAAGGCUGCAUUUUGGUCACCGGCUGCUGUUUUGUCAUCAAUAACCCUUUUAGUUUUAUGACUCUUAUUUAGCGAAUGCUCUAUCGCGGCGGCACCGUACGAGGGUGGCCGGAGCAUCUGAGUGGUAACGUGUGAUCGUGUGUGUUGGUGCGUGUGUGCGUGCAGGUGAUUGUGUGAGUUAGCGUUGAGGGCGCUGGGUGUGUGUAGACGUGCUCCGUGUUGGCGUGGGGUGCAUGCUCGUGCGUGUGUGUGUGCGUAUGGAUAUCGGGUAUGGGGUUUCCUGGUGGGUAGCAUGAGGAAUGAUCUACUGUGAUAUUGUAUUGUAAACAUAACCUUCUUUGUUAGCUGUCUUGGUUGUUGUUGUUGUUGUUGUCUAUUUUCGGUUUGGGUGUCUUGCGUCUGAUGCUAGGCCCCACCUGUGACUAGUCUGCCCUCCUGGGCCCGUGUGUUUCACCUUGACUUUUCACACAUUCCAGGAUUGGUUAAGGCACCUUGUUGUGCCCGUUGGGGAAGUGUUGUGUUGUGAUUUGUACUGGUGUUAUUACCUGUGGCCAUAACUGCUAUUUGGUUAGCCCUGUGGGCUCAGACCUAACUGGUGGGGCCCUUUUCUGAUGUUGUCUUAUUAUUGUCUUUCUUUUCUUUCCUGGCAGGACUGGGGACAUCCAGUAGGGAGGCUUGACACCUGGUGGUGGGUAUUUGUGUCUUUGCUCCACUAUCAUUUGCAGUGUAGUGUCACCGGGGUGUGCAGUGCAGUGUGUGUGUGUGUGUAGCCACGUGUGGUCCUUCUGACCCUCCUUCCAGACAAGGUCUCCCUCUGGUAAGCUCCGCUCCUGUUCAUUCUAGUUUAUUUUGUGUCUUCGGUAUCCGCUAUCGGUACGAUAUUCCUCUGUGUCUAACUGGGUGUUUAGCCCCACUAAUGAAAGUGUAACCAUCAGACCAAUCAAAAUAAAGCGUGUAUACAAUUUUAAUAGAACCCCGUCUCUGCUUCAUCCUUGCACGAACCUGUGUGCCUUGGUGUGGAUUAUACAGGAAGCUGGUUGUAUUUGGUAACCGGUGGUUAGUUCCCACCAGGCUUAUUUCCUACAUAGAGAUCAGACCUCCAGUAGGUGGCGUAGUCGACACAAAGCUCUAAUCAUUGC